AUUGAACGCUGGCGGCAUGCCUUACACAUGCAAGUCGAACGGCAGCGGACCUUCGGGUGCCGGCGAGUGGCGAACGGGUGAGUAAUAUAUCGGAACGUACCUUUCAGUGGGGGAUAACGUAGCGAAAGUUACGCUAAUACCGCAUAUUCUGUGAGCAGGAAAGCAGGGGAUCGCAAGACCUUGCGCUGAUUGAGCGGCCGAUAUCAGAUUAGCUAGUUGGUGAGGUAAAGGCUCACCAAGGCGACGACCUGUAGCGGGUCUGAGAGGAUGAUCCGCCACACUGGAACUGAGACACGGUCCAGACUCCUACGGGAGGCAGCAGUGGGGAAUUUUGGACAAUGGGCGCAAGCCUGAUCCAGCCAUGCCGCGUGAGUGAAGAAGGCCUCGGUUGUAA
rnacentral:rRNA from 1 species